UCGGGUCGUAAAGCUCUUUUAUGGGGGAAGAUGAUGACGGUACCCCAUGAAUAAGCACCGGCUAACUACGUGCCAGCAGCCGCGGUAAUACGUAGGGUGCGAGCGUUGUUCGGAAUUACUGGGCGUAAAGGGCGUGCAGGCGGAUUGGCAAGCCGGAGGUGAAAGCCCGGGGCUCAACCCCGGAGGGUCUUUCGGAACUGCCAGUCUUGAGAGGGUCAGGGGCCAGCGGAAUUCCUGGUGUAGAGGUGAAAUUCGUAGAGAUCAGGAGGAACACCGGCGGCGAAAGCGGCUGGCUGGGGCCACUCUGACGCUGAGGCGCGAAAGCGUGGGGAGCAAACAGGAUUAGAUACCCUGGUAGUCCACGCCGUAAACGAUGGGCACUAAGCGUCCGACGGGUUCGACCCUGUUGGGUGCUGCAGUUAACGCGUUAAGUGCCCCGCCUGGGGAGUACGGUCGCAAGACUA
rnacentral:rRNA from 1 species